UAAGGUAGUGCUGAACGUACAGAAGUCAGCAGAGGCCAUAGUAGCUAAAAUGAAUCUAGCUUCAUUCGGGUGAAGGAC
rnacentral:ncRNA from 1 species